AGCGAACGCUGGCGGCAGGCUUAACACAUGCAAGUCGAGCGGGCACUUCGGUGUCAGCGGCAGACGGGUGAGUAACACGUGGGAACGUACCCUUUGGUUCGGAAUAACGCUGGGAAACUAGCGCUAAUACCGGAUACGCCCUUUUGGGGAAAGGCUUGCUGCCGAAGGAUCGGCCCGCGUCUGAUUAGCUAGUUGGUGGGGUAAUGGCCUACCAAGGCGACGAUCAGUAGCUGGUCUGAGAGGAUGAUCAGCCACACUGGGACUGAGACACGGCCCAGACUCCUACGGGAGGCAGCAGUGGGGAAUAUUGGACAAUGGGCGCAAGCCUGAUCCAGCCAUGCCGCGUGAGUGAUGAAGGCCUUAGGGUUGUAAAGCUCUUUUGUCCGGGACGAUAAUGACGGUACCGGAAGAAUAGGCCCCGGCUAACUUCGUG
rnacentral:rRNA from 1 species